rnacentral:lncRNA from 1 species
AGAAACCACGUCACACAGGGCCCUCUCCCACACAUCCCAGCCAAACUGCUUUAGAAAGAAAACAAGUGGACCUCCCUCCCUCGGCAGGAAGACCCUUCCCGUCGAGCAGACAACAGGAAGCCCCAACCUGAAACGCCUGUUUGGUGGAGGAACUAAGGGGUACGGAAGGGACGCCCCCAGCUGCCUACUUUUCCUACCCGCGCCUGGUUGGGCCGUCCAGCCGGGACCAGUGACAGCUGAUGGCACCAGGGACCAGUGCCUAAGCCCCAGCUGCCCAGCAAGGAUAGUGUCCUAGCAGGAGGGUAGCCAACUGAAUGGCCAUUGGAGGAAUGAGAGCAGAGGCCCCAUCCAUGUGAUCUCUGAAAUGAUGAGAAGGCAAUGUUCAAAUCUUCUGCCAGGGCUGAGGUAGGUUCCAAUGUACAAAAUGCUGGGAGUUGGAGAGAUUGAUCCACUAGUUAGGCAGUAUUGAGUAUUUUACCACUUCUCCAUGUGGCACAGCCACAAAAUCCUGUUACCCUGUGGUUCUCAACUUUUUUGGGUUUGUGGCUAUGGCACAGAAGGUGGGCUAUCUACCAGAAAUGUGUGUUCCUCUUUUCAUGGUGUAGAGUUUUGGCCGCACAGCUAGGGAUUGUAUUCCUACCACCUUAUGCCCCUAGGUAGAACUAUGUGACUAGCCACCAACACAAUGGGACUGGAAGUGAUAUGUGUCACUUGCAGGCCAAGGCAGUAAAGAGGUGACUUUUCUGUACUCUUUCUCUCCACCUGCCAGAACUCCAAGGUUCUAAGGAUGGAAGAGUCAUAGUUGGAAAGAGCCUGGGUACCUGAAUCACUGCAUGGAGGAAAAUCACUUGCUGAACAGGAACAUCCUCAUUGGACUAGCUAUGUGGGUGAGAAAGAACCUUGGAAUUUGAGUGUUUAUUUGCUAUAGCAUAACCUUAACAAAGUGCUAGUAUUGAGUGCUAGUAUUUUUGGCAGCACAUUUAAAAGGAUUAAUUUGCAUGUGUAGUAAUUACACUAUUAAACUGACGACACCUCAGCAUAGUGUCAUGGUUUGAGUAGAACUACUUGCUGCCCUGGUCACUCUCUUAGAUACUCAUGAAGCAAAGUUCUCACAGGUCUUAGCAAAUGCAUAGUGUCGUUGUUUCUUGAUGUGUAUCAAGCUGUGCCCUGUACCACAUGGAAGCCUGUGAAAACCCAGCUCAACAUUCUGUCUGCCCAGAUACCAUGUCAACAGCAUGAAUCAUAGUUGUAAAAACUUUACCUACCAAUUGCAAUGCCUUGGGAAGGAGUCUCAG